UACGAAGGGGGCUAGCGUUGCUCGGAAUCACUGGGCGUAAAGCGCACGUAGGCGGACUCUUAAGUCGGUGGUGAAAUCCUGGAGCUCAACUCCAGAACUGCCUUCGAUACUGGGAGUCUCGAGUUCGGCAGAGGUGAGUGGAACUGCGAGUGUAGAGGUGAAAUUCGUAGAUAUUCGCAAGAACACCAGUGGCGAAGGCGGCUCACUGGCCCGAUACUGACGCUGAGGUGCGAAAGCGUGGGGAGCAAACAGG
rnacentral:rRNA from 1 species